UGAGGAAGAUAAUGACGGUACUCAACAAGGAAGUGACGGCUAACUACGUGCCAGCAGCCGCGGUAAAACGUAGGUCACAAGCGUUGUCCGGAAUUACUGGGUGUAAAGGGAGCGCAGGCGGGAARACAAGUUGGAAGUGAAAUCCAUGGGCUCAACCCAUGAACUGCUUUCAAAACUGUUUUUCUUGAGUAGUGCAGAGGUAGGCGGAAUUCCCGGUGUAGCGGUGGAAUGCGUAGAUAUCGGGAGGAACACCAGUGGCGAAGGCGGCCUACUGGGCACCAACUGACGCUGAGGCUCGAAAGUGUGGGUAGCAAACAGGAUUAGAUACCCUGGUAGUCCACACCGUAAACGAUGAUUACUAGGUGUUGGAGGAUUGACCCCUUCAGUGCCGCAGUUAACACAAUAAGUAAUCCACCUGGGGAGUACGACCGCAAGGUUGAAACUCAAAGGAAUUGACGGGGGCCCGCACAAGCAGUGGAGUAUGUGGUUUAAUUCGACGCAACGCGAAGAACCUUACCAAGUCUUGACAUCCCUUGACGAUGCUGGAAACAGUAUUUCUCUUCGGAGCAAGGAGACAGGUGGUGCAUGGUUGUCGUCAGCUCGUGUCGUGAGAUGUUGGGUUAAGUCCCGCAACGAGCGCAACCCUUAUGGUCAGUUACUACGCAAGAGGACUCUGGCCGGACUGC
rnacentral:rRNA from 1 species